GCUCGAUUCGGAGCUCAUUUGCAGAAGUUAUGAUAGUUCUCGUGUUCCUGCAUUCAUCCGUUUCCUUUUGUUCUGGUUCUGAAGGUACCAAGCGGUUGUACCGCAUUGGCUAGCGGUAGCACCUCCUAUCUCUAUAAGCGGUCGUACCGAUUUGGGCCAGCAGUAGUACCGCCCUAGGUGGUAGUACCACUGCCCAGUGCCAUGUGUGGUGCCGCUAUCUCUGGGGUUUCGACUUUCGUGUCGGACUGCGCGGUAGUGGAGACGGUAGUGCGGCGCGGUAGUACCGCCGGUCACUACCGCUCAAUUAUCGCCUAACCUUUUGUUCCCGAAACUCUCUCAACGAACAUAGGGCGGAUGUCGGCCUAGUGGGAACCGGAGUACCACGACUCGUCUGCCUUUGGCCUAGGAGGUGACACUGGGCCAUCCCGCAGAAGAUGGCUCGACCGGGCUGCCCCGGAAGAAGUCGCCUCGCGAGGGGCAGCUCUUGCGAGGCUCCUCGCCGCCCGGUCAGGUGUGCCGAGGUCGCCAGGUACUAGCUCUCCUCAUGAGGUUUUGAUGCCCCCGUAUUAAUCAUGCACUAAUCAUACACGCAAAUGCGCACAAUCAAGAUCAGAGACUCAUGGGAAGAUAUCACAACACAACUCUAGACACAAAUUCAAACAUAAAGCUUUAUAUUACAAGCACGACCAUGAAGGCGCGAAUACAUAAGUCAGCGGAAGCAACAAUAUACAAACACAAUUAAACAAGUUUGCCUUAAGAAGGCUGAGCAAAACAACGACAUCUAGAUCAAAAAGGCCCACGCCUCCUGCCUGGGAGCCUCCUGUCUACUCCUGGCCGUCGACGACCUCCACGUAGUAGUAAGUUCUGUCGGGGUAGUAGUAGCCGUCGACGGGAUCAGCUGGCUCCUGGGCUCCGUCAUUUGAUGGCAACAAUCGUCUCAAGGGGGAAAGGGGAGCAAAGCAAUUGUGAGUACUCAACCAAAGUACUCACAAGACGUACAUUAGGUCUAUGCUAAAUAUGCAUCAGUAUCAAGGGGAAGGGGCUGUAUUUGUGGACCAUACUGCAGAAAUGCCAAAAUAGAAGGGAAGACCUACCCUAUCGAAGACUAGCAUCUUGUAGCAUCUUGCAACAUUAGAAGAGUACAUAUUAGUAUAACAUAUGUAAUAAGUAUGUAGUAGAAAUGCCCAGAGAUCUUUCCUCGACUCCGUGCGGGAAAGCAAUCCCGGAGCCAUCAUAUCCAUUUAGUGUCUCCAGUAUCCAAUUCUAGUUGUAAUAGAUCGGGAUACAACUUCGAGCGUCCGUUACCGUGGACAUAGCUAUUCGAAUAGAUAUACUUCCCUGCAGGGGUGCGCAAACUUAUCCAACACGCUCGAUUAACUCCGAUCAAACACAGUUUUCUGUGUCAUGCCCGACCUCGGCUGAUCGACACACCAUAGUCCUAACUAGGCUCAACAGAGAGGCCAGCACGCCGGUCUAAAUCCUAAGCGCUCAUGAUGUUUGUCA
rnacentral:lncRNA from 1 species